rnacentral:rRNA from 1 species
CCUACGGGGGGCUGCAGUGGGGAAUUUUGGACAAUGGGCGCAAGCCUGAUCCAGCAAUGCCGCGUGCAGGAAGAAGGCCUUCGGGUUGUAAACUGCUUUUGUCAGGGAAGAAAUCUUCUGGGUUAAUACCUCGGGAGGAUGACGGUACCUGAAGAAUAAGCACCGGCUAACUACGUGCCAGCAGCCGCGGUAAUACGUAGGGUGCGAGCGUUAAUCGGAAUUACUGGGCGUAAAUCGUGCGCACACGGCUGAAAUCCCCGGGCUCAACCUGGGAACUGCCUUUGUGACUGCAAGGCUAGAGUACGGCAGAGGGGGAUGGAAUUCCGCGUGUAGCAGUGAAAUGCGUAGAUAUGCGGAGGAACACCAAUGGCGAAGGCAAUCCCCUGGGCCUGUACUGACGCUCAUGCACGAAAGCGUGGGGAGCAAACAGGAUUAGAUACCCCUGUAGUC